rnacentral:rRNA from 1 species
UACGUAGGGGGCAAGCGUUGUCCGGAUUUAUUGGGCGUAAAGAGCGUGUAGGCGGCCCGACAGGUCCGUUGUGAAAACUCGAGGCUCAACCUCGAGACGUCGAUGGAAACCGUCGGGCUAGAGUCCGGAAGAGGAGAGUGGAAUUCCUGGUGUAGCGGUGAAAUGCGCAGAUAUCAGGAGGAACACCCGUGGCGAAAGCGGCUCUCUGGGACGGUACUGACGCUGAGACGCGAAAGCGUGGGUAGCAAACAGG